GAUGAACGCUGGCGGCGUGCCUAAUACAUGCAAGUAGAACGCUGAAGGAGGAGCUUGCUCUUCUGGAUGAGUUGCGAACGGGUGAGUAACGCGUAGGUAACCUGCCUGGUAGCGGGGGAUAACUAUUGGAAACGAUAGCUAAUACCGCAUGACAACAGUUAUUGCAUGAUAACUGUUUAAAAGGGGCAACUGCUCCACUACCAGAUGGACCUGCGUUGUAUUAGCUAGUUGGUGAGGUAACGGCUCACCAAGGCGACGAUACAUAGCCGACCUGAGAGGGUGAUCGGCCACACUGGGACUGAGACACGGCCCAGACUCCUACGGGAGGCAGCAGUAGGGAAUCUUCGGCAAUGGACGGAAGUCUGACCGAGCAACGCCGCGUAAGUGAAGAAGGUUUUCGGAUCGUAAAGCUCUGUUGUAAGAGAAGAACGAGUGUGAGAGUGGAAAGUUCACACUGUGACGGUAUCUUACCAGAAAGGGACGGCUAACUACGUG
rnacentral:rRNA from 1 species